UCAGGUUUCCAUUGUGGAGGAUGUAAGUGAGCAAGAACAGACCAUAGAAAACAUUUAUUAUCUUUGUUUUGAAUAUUAACAAACGCUUUCUUAGGUUUUAUUUCUUUUGGGAAAUCAAUAUAAGAAGAAGCUUGAAGAGGAUCUGAUUUUAAGAUGUGUACAUCGAAAAAAAAAUUUUUUAAUAGCAAAUCCACUACCAACUACAGUGUUAUCAACAUCUUGUUCUUGUCUGGAAUCAUCAUAAACAUCACAUCUUACAAAAUCUUGAAACAAUAAGAUAAAGUGAGGGUUUGUUCUCAUAUAGGGAGUAGUUUCAUCACCUUCUCUCACCAGAUCAUCAAAACACACUCUCCAGCUUCUGAAGAAGAACUCGACCUUUUUCAUUUGAUGUUGGAUGUUAUCUGUGAGGGCUUCAACAGUUUUGGUGCCAAAAAGAACCUCCCCAAGGACAUUGUGGCAUUCAUGGAGCAACAUUGCCAGGAGAGACAUUACACUUAUCAGGUGAAGAAAUGCACGGAUGACAACUGUGGUUACUGCUUUAUGAAGUCUGACAGACUUCAAUGAAGUUCAUUUCCUGCCGGAUCCUAUGUUGAACAAAGACAGUGGAGAAUUUAUGCCAUUUGUGGAAGUGUAUGGUACACCGACUGAUGACAGUUCAAGGCCAUCUUUGAAGGGAAAAGCACAAGUGACUGAAAAUGACAAGAAAAACAAGGCCAUUCUGAUAUCAGCCAAAGUUCGUAAAACUAUCAAUUGCUGUGAGUGUGGCCGCAGAAGGUUGGUUUACAGUCCAAAGAAAGUUACUGGUGGUGACCUGCGAGCCCUUCAGUGCCUGAAGGAAGAACUUUCAUACUCUUGUGGCACACUGUUCCCUCCAGACUCAAGUUACCACAAGAUGAUUGUGAAGGAAGCUCAAAAUUGUGAAAUGCCGAUGGAAGCAGCUUACUAUGCUGGUAUCACUAGCAGGUUUGAUCCAGUUUGCUAUCACUGUGGUGAUGACGAAGAUCUUGACGACAGUGAUGAAAUGAGGAAGUUGCAGGAGUAUGGUAUUGUGUGGCCGAUAUGUACAGCUUGCUUGGCGAGAGGGAAACAACCAGAAGUGCGAAACCAGAGGAAGGUCAAUGGAGAGAAACAACGCAAGAAAUAACUGUAUGUACUGUGGUGAUGCUAUGUGUAGCAGCCUGGGUUCUGAUGCCAUUGAAGUAUCCCCAUGUGCUUGAUGUGACAGUGAACUAUUGUUGAACACUUGAAAAAUUGGACUACAUGAAAAAUUAGAUAUUGAACUUUAUUUUUAUUUUUCAAACUGUUUUUUUGCCAAUGGCUUUAUAUUGCAGCGGGAUGUGAUAUUCCUGAUGGUCUUUUCUGUUUGAGGUACCAUUACUGCUUUUCUGAUUUUUCUUAAAGAUGUGUUUUCAUAGCCAUUGUUUUUAAUAAAACAGACAAAUUUUUGCAAAACCUGAAUGAGAUUUUGCUCUGCGAGAAUGAUCUUUCAGUCUACAACUUGGACGGUAAUUUUCUCAGCAUUGUUACCAUUUGUUUGAUGAUCCAACAGGUUUUGAUAAGAAAAACAUGCCAGACUAUAUUGUAAAAACAAGUUUUAAUCCUUCUUUAUUGUUUUUCACAUCAGAUGAUACAGUGAACAUGGGCAUCCUGCAUUUUAAUGGUCUUCCAUCUUCAAUGUUUUCUUAGAUCCUUCUGGUCCGGGAUUUAUAUUUAUUUUCCCCCCACCUACCCUUGUCUUUUCCAUGGAACAUCCGAAAAACAAAUCAUAAAAAUAUAUAAUUUCUGAAAAUUGAAAUUAUAUUUAUAUUUAUAUUUCGACCCACCGACCCUACAUUUUCGCUAAAGAACUGCAUAAACCAAGUUAUAAAAUAACUAAGUCCUAAUUAGUGAUUACUUUAUUAGUUCCCACACACAACAUGUUUAUGUAAUUUUAAAAAAUUGCUCCACCCACCCAAGCCCCACCCACACAAGCCCCACCCACACAGGGGGGGGGGGGGGGGGGGGGGGGGGGGGGGGGGGGGGGACCCACACAAGUUCCACCCACCCUCACAAGCCACACCCACACAAGCUCCACCCACACAAGCUCCACCCACCCAAGCCUCACCCACACAAGUUCCACCCACCCUCACAAGCCCCACACUCACAAGCACCACCCACACAAGUUCCACCCACAAAGGUCCACCCACAUAAGCCCCACCCACACAAGCUCCACCCACACAAGCUCCACCCACACAAGCCCCACCCACACAAGCUCCACCAACCCACAGAAGCCCCAACCACCCACCCACACAAGCUCCACCAACCUACACAAGCCCCAAUCUCCCACACAAGCCCCACCUGCCUGUGCUCUCCCACCUUUGACCCACCACCCCCCUCAUCCCACCCACCACCCUUCCAGCACACACACACGGAGAGGGGAGGGGAGAGGGAUGAGGGGGUGGUGGGUCGUUGGGGGAGUGCACCUACCCCGGCCCCCUCUUAUUUUUACAUCUCCUUUAUUCUUUUCUUGUAAUUCAAAAUCUGAAAAUUAUAAGGAAAGCAUUUAUAAUUAAACAAAAGUAAUGACAUUGAACAAAAUCUUCCUUCGCCUGAGUCUGAUGGUUUGUUUUGGUUUUGAAACUCGAUCAAUAUAUUCUGUUCAAAACAAAGAGUGAAGAACAAUUAGGGGAUAUGAAGAUGAUUAUAUUUUGAUAUUAAUAUAACAAUAAAUAUAACAUUUACCUCCAGAAGAUAGUGUCAUGUCAGAUUCCUCCAGAAGAUUAAGUUGUGUGUUUGGUUCAUCCAGACAGGUGUUCAAACUGA
rnacentral:lncRNA from 1 species